rnacentral:rRNA from 1 species
AGCAGCCGCGGUAAUUCCAGCUCCAAUAGCGUAUAUUAAAGUUGUUGCAGUUAAAAAGCUCGUAGUUGAAUUUCGGGAUUGACGUGACGGUCGUGCCUUAAGGGGCGUGAACUGUCGCCGUUGAUUUCUCACCUUCUGGAGAAGCUUGAUGUCCUUAAUUGGAUGUCUUGUGGAACCAGGACCUUUACCUUGAAAAAUUAGAGUGUUUAAAGCAGGCAUUUUGCUCGAAUACAUUAGCAUGGAAUAAUAGAAUAGGACGGCAUGGUUCUAUUUUGUUGGUUUCUAGGAUCACCGUAAUGAUUAAUAGGGAUAGUUGGGGGCAUUAGUAUUCAAUUGUCAGAGGUGAAAUUCUUGGAUUUAUUGAAGACUAACUACUGCGAAAGCAUUUGCCAAGGAUGUUUUCAUUAAUCAAGAACGAAAGUUAGGGGAUCGAAGACGAUCAGAUACCGUCGUAGUCUUAACCAUA